UACGUAGGGUGCGAGCGUUGUCCGGAAUUAUUGGGCGUAAAGGGCCCGUAGGCGGUCUGUCGCGUCGGGAGUGAAAACUCAGGGCUUAACCCUGAGCCUGCUUCCGAUACGGGCAGACUAGAGGUAUGCAGGGGAGAACGGAAUUCCUGGUGUAGCGGUGAAAUGCGCAGAUAUCAGGAGGAACACCGGUGGCGAAGGCGGGUCUCUGGGCCGAAACUGACGCUGAGGAGCGAAAGCGUGGGGAGCAAACAGG
rnacentral:rRNA from 1 species